GGGGAUCCUCUUCGGAGGCGUNCACACAGGUGCUGCAUGGCUGUCNUCAGCUNGUGUCGUNAGAUGUUGGGUUAAGUCCCGCAACGAGCGCAACCCACGUCCUUAGUUGCCAUCAUUUAGUUGGGCACUAUAGGGAGACUGCCGGUGAUAAUCCGCGAGGAAGGUGUGGAUGACGUCAAGUCCUCAUGCCCCNUACGGGAUGGGCUACACACGUGCUACAAUGGCGGUGACAGUGGGNCGAGAANCCGAGAGGUUGAGCAAAUCCCCAAAAGCCGUCUCAGUUCGGAUUGCAUUCUGCACCUNGGGUGCANNAAGCNGG
rnacentral:rRNA from 1 species